ensembl:lncRNA
GACUGCAUUAUGGCUGCGUCUGCUGGGUCAACUGUGAGAGAACACGGCAUGUCUGCUGCUACAGCUGCUGUGCUAGUCAGGAGAAAAUAAACACAUUUGCCGUUCCUACAGCUCCUUGAGUUUUCUUCCAGCUUCUUCGCUCUCGCCUUGACUACCGUGGGUUCAGCAAACAGUGAGAUACAGCAAGACAAGCGUCCAGCAAUAGAUGUAUUGAGGGACGGCCGAUAGAAGGAGAUACAAAUAGGAACCUUCCCAGGCCCUGGUCCAAGGUUCUGAAAAACCUCAAGCUGCUUCUAUGUUGGAAGAAUGUGGAAUAACCCUGAUUUAAGAGUGGAGAGCUGGCCGGUGAACUGGCUUUUGCUGGACUGUGUGACUCGAACCUGCAGGCUUCUGUGAGCAGCAGUGCUGGAAUUGAUCAGACCAGGAAGGGCACGGAUCCUGAAGAUGGUACCGCUGGAGGCUCUUGGCUAAAGGUGCUCCUUGUGGCUGAAUGGCAAGUUCUUUUACAAGGGAGGUCCAAAUGGAGCACUCCCUCAGCUGCCACACUUAAUCAAAUGCAGUGUUGCUGUUGUCUCAGCCACCUCCCCAACACCAGGAAAGAAGAGCUUCCUGCACAGAGUAGAGAAAUGAGAGGCGGAGGGACCUCCCUGGUGGUCCACUGGUUAAGAAUCUGCCUUCCAAUGCAAAGGAUGUGGGUUCGACCCCUGGUUAGGGAAUUAAGACUGACUCUACAUG